GUGGGGAAUAUUGGACAAUGGGCGAAAGCCUGAUCCAGCCAUGCCGCGUGUGUGAAGAAGGUCUUCGGAUUGUAAAGCACUUUAAGUUGGGAGGAAGGGCAGUAAGUUAAUACCUUGCUGUUUUGACGUUACCGACAGAAUAAGCACCGGCUAACUUCGUGCCAGCAGCCGCGGUAAUACGAAGGGUGCAAGCGUUAAUCGGAAUUACUGGGCGUAAAGCGCGCGUAGGUGGUUCAGCAAGUCGAAGGUGAAAUCCCCGGGCUCAACCUGGGAAGUGCCUCCAAAACUACUGGGCUAGAGUACGGUAGAGGGUAGUGGAAUUUCCUGUGUAGCGGUGAAAUGCGUAGAUAUAGGAAGGAACACCAGUGGCGAAGGCGACUACCUGGACUGAUACUGACACUGAGGUGCGAAAGCGUGGGGAGCAAACAGGAUUAGAUACCCGUGUAGUCC
rnacentral:rRNA from 1 species